UUCGCAAUGCCCGAAAGGGUGACGAAGCGACGCCGCGUGGGUGAGGAAGGCCUUCGGGUUGUAAAGCCCUGUCAGGAGUUAAGAAAUGUAAGUGCGCUAAUAUCGCAUUUAUUUGACGAAGGCUCCAAAGGAAGUCACGGCUAACUCUGUGCCAGCAGCCGCGGUAAUACAGAGGUGGCAAGCGUUGUUCGGAAUUAUUGGGCGUAAAGAGCACGUAGGUGGGUUUGUAAGUCAGAUGUGAAAGCCUUCUGUUCAACGGAAGAAUUGCAUCUGAAACUACGAGUCUUGAGUGUAGGAGGGGAGAAUGGAACUUCUGGUGGAGCGGUGAAAUGCGUAGAUAUCAGAAGGAACGCCGGCGGCGAAAGCGAUUCUCUGGCCUAUUACUGACACUGAGUGUGCGAAAGCUAGGGGAGCAAACGGGAUUAGAUACCCCGGUAGUCCUAGCCGUAAACGAUGGGCACUAAGUAGAGGGGUUUU
rnacentral:rRNA from 1 species